UCGCCUAUGAAGCAAGGGUUCGAAUAAACAUCAAGUGCGACAAGUUUAUAAAGUGUUCACGUAAGACACCAAGUACGUGGAAUCUUCGUGGUGCUGCUAGAAGUGAGUUGAGAUGUUGAACUGUUAUAUUGCUGCACCACCAGGACAGAUGCUGAAGUCGAAAAAUCAUGAGAAGUCAGGAGGCUGCCCACAGGACCCAGUUCAGGGCAUUCAGCCUUUUCAGUCAAAGCUGCAGCUACAGGACCCUCAGGCAUUCGACCUACAACGAACAGAUUGCACCAGCUGAACUCCUUAACUACUUCAACAAUUUCUUUAGCACUAUUCACUUCUCUCUCUUCAAAUUUGACAGAGGAGUCAUCUGGAUUCUUCUUGAAGCUAGCUAGAAAUGUUGUAUCAGUUGAACUUAAUGAAUUACUGGAUUCUGCAGUUAUAUCAAUUUUGACCAUCCGCCGCAUAAUAUCAUUGCUUGCUACGAAGUGAAUGAUAAUUAAACUGAUUCCAGGGUGCUCAG
rnacentral:misc_RNA from 1 species